AUUGAACGCUGGCGGCAGGCCUAACACAUGCAAGUCGAGCGGAUGAAGAGAGCUUGCUCUCUGAUUUAGCGGCGGACGGGUGAGUAAUGCCUAGGAAUCUGCCUGGUAGUGGGGGAUAACGUUCCGAAAGGAACGCUAAUACCGCGUACGUCCUACGGGAGAAAGCAGGGGACCUUCGGGCCUUGCGCUAUCAGAUGAGCCUAGGUCGGAUUAGCUAGUUGGUGAGGUAAUGGCUCACCAAGGCUACGAUCCGUAACUGGUCUGAGAGGAUGAUCAGUCACACUGGAACUGAGACACGGUCCAGGCUCCUACGGGAGGCAGCAGUGGGGAAUAUUGGACAAUGGGCGAAAGCCUGAUCCAGCCAUGCCGCGUGUGUGAAGAAGGUCUUCGGAUUGUAAAGCACUUUAAGUUGGGAGGAAGGGCAGUAAGUUAAUACCUUGCUGUUUUGACGUUACCGACAGAAUAAGCACCGGCUAACUUCGUGCCAGCCGCCGCGGUAAGAC
rnacentral:rRNA from 1 species